rnacentral:rRNA from 1 species
GGGGAAUUUUGGACAAUGGGGGCAACCCUGAUCCAGCCAUUCCGCGUGAGUGAAGAAGGCCUUCGGGUUGUAAAGCUCUUUCGGCAGGAACGAAACGGCGGGCUCUAACAUAGCCUGCUAAUGACGGUACCUGAAGAAGAAGCACCGGCUAACUACGUGCCAGCAGCCGCGGUAAUACGUAGGGUGCGAGCGUUAAUCGGAAUUACUGGGCGUAAAGCGUGCGCAGGCGGUUUUGUAAGACAGAUGUGAAAUCCCCGGGCUUAACCUGGGAACUGCGUUUGUGACUGCAAGACUUGAGUGCGGCAGAGGGGGGUGGAAUUCCACGUGUAGCAGUGAAAUGCGUAGAGAUGUGGAGGAACACCGAUGGCGAAGGCAGCCCCCUGGGUCGACACUGACGCUCAUGCACGAAAGCGUGGGUAGCAAAC